UAGACACUUAUAAACAAAACAUUGUCUAGUCAAGUGUCUGGUUGUUAUAGCCUAAUUGUUUUUCUAAUUCCUAGGACCUAAGUGCUUUCCUAUGUUUUCCAAGAUUGGGUUUAGGUUCUAGUUUUGUCUUUUUGGAGGUUUUGGCUCUACGUUUUUUUAUCCUAUAUUGCUUUUUGAUCUUUUAACCUGUUUUAAUGUUAUUUGAUUAAACUUCAAAACAUGAGAUUGUUUAUUCAUAUAGGCG
rnacentral:lncRNA from 1 species